GGUCGCUUAGCUCAGCUGGUUAGAGCGUGGUGCUAAUAUCCUCUGUUUAUUCCAUGUAUUCACAGAUAUACAACGCCAAGGUCGGCGGUUCGAUCCCGCCAGUGAUCA